rnacentral:lncRNA from 1 species
UUUACUUUUCUCUAGCUCACUUCAUUUUAAGAAUACAGUAUAUAACACAUUUAGCAUACAAAAUAGGUGUUAACUGACUAUAUUAUUGGUAAAAAUUCCAGUCGACAGUAGGCUAUUAGUGAAGAUUUUGAGGAAUUAAAAGUUAUACACAGAUUUCCAAUGGGGGAAUCAGUGACCCUAACUCCUCCAUGUAGUCCAUGAAUAAACUGUAUAUAAGUGUGUAUCUAUAUAUAUGUGUGUGCCAACACACAGUUGGCAUGUGCUUCUCAGAUAAUAGAGAAAUCACCAAAGGGAUGGUUCUAUCUACUUCAUUCAACAACUUUUAGUAUAUCUGGACACUCAAGAUGCUUACUUGAUGUUUAUCCUGUAAUUAUCAAUACAGUCAAUGCUUUUGGGAUAUCAGUUUAUGGCCUUAACUUUUAAUAGUCUAUCUCUGUUGGCAUCCAAUGCCAUAUCUGAGGACAAGUGGAUUUUUUGGUAUAUUAUAGAGGAUAAAAUCUUCCUUUAUAGCUUCUUAUAAAAAAAAAUUCUCUAUCAGAGUUAUCAAAUUGUGAUAUGCCCAAAUUCAUUAUUUUAUCAUAGCUUGAGUUUUCUGAGGAAUUAGUUUUCCUUGAAUGAUAUGUCCUAAGUUGAUAGGCAGUGAGUAAGGACAGGCAUGUAAUAACUGAUAAAGACUACAUGUUUUAAAGUGCUUACUUGGUUCCCCAGAGUUAGAGCAGUAGUUAACAGAGUUCAGUAUUUGACCCCUUAUGAUAUAAAAGAAAAUUUUAAUCAAGUUGGGUGGCAAAUGCAAAGGUAGAUAAAAUGAAUUAAAUGUAGUUGAACUGUUAUAGGCAGUCUCCAAAAGGCUCAAAAUUAAUGUACCUCAUGCAAAAUGAGGACUCAAUGCCUACUCAAAUACUAGCACCAUACAGGCUCAGGUGACAUGCUGAGCGGGCACAUCUUUGAUAGCAAUUAAAAUGUAAAAUAAAGACACAUACAUAAUAACCCACAAAGAAUUUUACAUGUGCAUUUGUAAAUGUUUCUAUAAUUUCUACAAAUAAAACAAAAAAAAAAGUUAAUGAUAUUGAUUGUUCUUCUCCCAAAUUACUGGGUUACCAUUUAAACUAGGGAACAUAGAGAUAUUUUAAAUACCUAAAAUAUCUCACAAAAUCCCUGAUAAGAAACUUACCCACAGAAAACAGAUCAUUUCAAUACAAAAUACUUUCUAGUGACCUCAGCACCACCUACCUGUGAUUUACAUGGGAAGGGGCAAACAAAGAUUUUCCUUUUCAUGAUCCAAAACCUACUACCACUGAGUCUUUUGGGGUACAUCAGACCUCUACUGUCUAAAAAUACUGUCUUUAGUCUUACUCUUGCAGAGAACACUGACCAAAUGGCACCAAUAAAUGUAUAGCUGGCUUGAAUUUGGCUAUCACAUCCAGCCUCCCCAAAAGUCAUGUUUGUUAUGCAAUUCCCUUUUGAGAACCACCAGCAUUUCCCAUUCAUUAUUUUCACAGAGCAAAGUAUGAUGUGCAUAGUAGCUAUGAUGGAAUUACCUAAUCCUUUUUGUAGGAAUCUCUUUAAUAGAAAUAAACGUCCUCUAUUAUUCAGUCCUAGUUUCUUUCUACUCUAGAAAAAUGGCAUCACUGUCAUCCAUCCAAAGGUGCCAAACUCACACUUGCUUCUUUCUGCCCACAUGCCGUUUCCUUUGUCUGAAAUCUCGUUCCAAAUCUUUCUACCUUUAAUACAUAGCUCACAUUAGUUCCAUCUCCUCAAUGAAGCUUAGUAGCAAUUCUGUACUCAAGUAUAGGGCUUCAUUAAAAGCAGCUCUAUAAUAACUCCUUUCUCCCACUUUAUAGAUGAAGAAACCGACGCACAAAAAGUUGAGUAACUUGCCAAGGAUCAACUAUACAGAGUGAGGAUUUGAACCCACAUAGCUUGUCUCUGAGGUUCAGUUCUCAGUAAGUAAUUUUUACUGACAGAUUUUGUUUUUAGUCUUAUUCCCACUUUUUAUCUGCCGCUGCUCUGAAUUCUUGCUUUAUACCUUCACUGAAAUAGAUAAAUUAUGUAGCAAGGUGAAAAAUCAGGUUACAUUCUAGAGCCUAUACAAAUAAAAAUGAAAAUAUUCCCUCAUACCUCAUAGAUGUUGGGACUAAGGACCAGAAAAAGCACACUACUCCGAAACACUCACCAGAAUUUCACCAGAAGCCAGGUCUACUAGUCAGAGCUCUAUUCAUCACAAGGUCUUUGCCAUCUUCCAAGGCAAAAGUGGAAGACAGUGUCUCCUUCCUUCUCAGGUAUAAAAGAACCUGUAAUUUGUCCUCUCAGCCAUUCUAACACAGUAAUAUUCUAUCCUUAAUUCAAGCAACUAAAAUUAAAGAACCAUCAUUUUUUUCAUUAUAAUUCAUUUUCCAUGUUCAAUUUUUGUAAAGUAAUAAGGAAUCCUCUAAUCUUUUUAAGUCAGAAUUACUAAGAUUAUCUCCUGAAACUUUAUGGCAUUUCAUUCCCCAUUUUGAUAAGUCCCAGCUUGUCUGAUAUGAAAUUUGUGAAUUUGUUGGUAGAGAGAUUUGGGCAAGUUCCCUUUUCUUUAUGGGCUUCAAUUUCCUCUUAAUGGUUCCAGGAACCAUUAAGUAAAUUUCUGUCUUCCAUCCCUGACCAUGCUACACUCCCUUUUGGGCAAACCACUACUCUGAAUUCUGAAUCUUUCUCCUUUGAACUACUUCCUUUCCACACACUAUAGCAUCCCUCAGUUCCAAUAUACAUUGUUCUUUCUCUCCCUGCUCUCUGUCCCUUUCCUGGGUUCCACAGCAAAAUCUGACUUUCUCUGUUUACCUUAGCAAUUUCAAGCAGGUUGACACCACAUGGUUCCUCACUGUCCACGAAAGACCAUUCUAGUCAAUGUGUGUUACUCUGCUCUCACCAUGUCUGAAUCUUUUCCUCCUAGCUACUGUUGUUGUAUCUCAUGACUGGUUGUUUCUCCAGGUGUGAUGCUCCGUCUACAAUAAUGCAGUGUACAACAGCGAAAGCCUCCUUGAAUUUCCAACUCCCUGUUGAUGCCUCUUUCAUGUUUCACAGGCCAGGAAAUAUUCUUCCCUUUCCAUGUAGUUAGCUUCUCACAUGGUACUCAUACUCCAGAGCAGGUACACAGAAGUCUACACUAAAAAUAAAAGUCCCAUCAUCAUCAUUUGGCUAACAUCUACUGAAUGCCCACAACAGACCAGUCACUAGGCCAAUUCUUAGACAGAAAUCAUCUCAUUCAAUCCUCCUAUCUCCAUGUGAUUUUUCCUACCAUAGCCCCAUUUUACUGCCGAGACACAGGCCUGGAAAUUAAGUAAUGUGCUAAAGAGUAAAUGACCUGCAAAGCAGGAACUGUCCACUAUUUCUCAUAUUACCAGUGUAGCUAUCUUAGUACCAGUACCAGUACCCACCAGAACCCAAACUCUGGAGAGCCAUCAUCAUGUAUGUGUUGCUCAUGCCUGUACCCCAGGACUAAGCAUGCAUGGUAGAUUCUUAGUAAGCAUUUGCUGAAUGAAGAUAGCAUACAGGGUCCCCCAACUCUUAUCUUCAGGGGAUAUAUUCUAAGACCCCCUCCCCCCCAGUGGAUGCCUGAAACCACAGAUAGCACCAAAUUCUAUACAUGCUGUUUUUUCCUAUACAUAUAUGACUGGGAUAAAGUUUAAUUUAUAAAUUAAGCAUAGGAAGAGAUUAACAAUAACUAAUCAUAAAAUGAACAAUUAUGCCAACAUACUAUAAUAAAAAAUUACUGAAAUCACAGAAAGCCAGAAUGUAGAUCACAGGGACUACUUUAUUUCCAAAGAGAGGAAAGUAUUUCUCCAUCUCAAGUUGUAGCUAACAGCUACGUUCUAACACAGAGCCACACUCGUGUGUUCACUGUUGCUGUGAUAGAAUAUGCUAGUAAUACUAUAUAGAUAUUAAUAUAACUAAUUGCCUUCAGAAAGUGACCUCUUUUUAGCUUAUAUUUAAGAUAGAUUUUAUUUCAUUUUUUUAUUUCAUUUUAUAUAAUGAAAGGAAUAUGUUGAAAUGUAAAGUAUUU